ACAUCCAGAGAAUUUAGCAGAGAUGCUUAGUGCCUUCGGGAACUCUGAGACAGGUGCUGCAUGGCUGUCGUCAGCUCGUGUUGUGAAAUGUUGGGUUAAGUCCCGNAACGAGCGCCACCCUUAUCCUUUGUUGCCAGCACGUAAUGGUGGGAACUCAAAGGAGACUGCCGGUGAUAAACCGGAGGAAGGUGGGGAUGACGUCAAGUCAUCAUGGCCCUUACGAGUAGGGCUACACACGUGCUACAAUGGCGCAUACAAAGAGAAGCGACCUCGCGAGAGCAAGCGGACCUCAUAAAGUGCGUCGUAGUCCGGAUUGGAGUCUGCAACUCGACUCCAUGAAGUCGGAACCGCUAGUAAUCGUAAAUCAGAAUGUUACGGUGAAUACGUUCCCGGGCCUUGUACACACCGCCCGUCACACCAUGGGAGUGGGUUGCAAAAGAAGUAGAUAGCUUAACCUUCAGGAGGGCGUUUACCACUUUGUGAUUCAUGACUGGGGUGAAGUCGUAACAAGGUAGGCGUAGUGCU
rnacentral:rRNA from 1 species